rnacentral:lncRNA from 1 species
GAAGGGCUCAAGUCCUGCCUCCUCUCGGAAGGAGGCGGCUCCGGGGCAUCUCAGCAGCCCCCAGCGGGGUGGGGAUGGGGGGCGCUAGCCGGGGCCCCGGGCGUGGGGUGUGGAGAGCCAGAGCAGGGCGGCGGGAAACCAGCCGGAACCGGAGACGGGGAGAGGAGGGGAAGGGGGGCUGCCCUGAGUCCCCUCCGGCGGAUGGGGAGGGCUGGGCGGUCCCAGCGAGCCCCUCCCCCGAGCCCGGGCCUCCCUUAAAUGGGACGUGCGGGGGUGGCUGGACCCAGUGCGCUGGGAAAAGCUCCGACUCCGACCGCGAACUUCGGACUGCGCCAGCGAUCCCUGGAGAAGGACAGGAUGAGCUCCGGAUGGCGGGGACAGGCUUCCGGCUGGCACGGGGAACACACCCCAACUGUUUAUAUAGAUGGCAGCUGCAGAAAUAA